UAUUGGGGUUCAUACCCCACUUAUAAAGGUUUAAUCCUUUUCUUUUUA
rnacentral:tRNA from 1 species